GUGGUCAUUUUUUUUAUAAAUUUCCUGUUAACAAAAGUUUAAAUUUUUCGAAAAACUAAGGAUUUUCUUAUUCCAGGCAUAGAUUUCCUUAGCCGUAUUUGGCACAAUUUUUGGGAAUUUUGGAUCCUCAAUGCUCUUCAACUUUGUAAUUGUUUGGCUUUAUAAAUAUUUUGAUAUGAGCGUCACUGAUGAGUCUUAUUUAGACGAAACGCGCGUCUGGCGUACUAAAUUAUAAUCCUGGUACCUU
rnacentral:lncRNA from 1 species